CUAGUACUCACCUUUAUUAUGAUACUAACAUUACAUACAACUUAUAGACCGCCCCAAUCACACUUCACAUUACAUACAACGUGGCAUGAAAUAUAACAUUGAGUUUGCAAGAAUAUAUUCUGGAGAAUAAGUAAAGUGAUAGCAGCAGAACAAGUUCCUCACCACUGUGGAGAAUAAAGUGUUUGGGAGAAUAAAGUGAAUGGUUUUAAUAAUCUUGGAAUUCGAUUCUUGUUUCUGUUAGUGGUCUUUAAACUACUGCUUUAGCCAAAUAAUUUCUGAAUCCUAUAACUUACAUUUGUUCAACAUCUAACAAUCUUCGAAUUUGAUUCUUCUUUCUUCUGUUGAUGAACUUUCAAAAUACUUGUUUAGCCAAUUUCUUCUAACUUACUAUUUCUCAAACAAGAAGUGUUCUAAUAAUCAUGAUUUGCUGAACAUUAAGUGGCCAAAAGGUAGCUGAAAAGAUACUCGACAAGAAAGAGCUAGAAUUCUACAAAUGGGACGGCGACCUUUCUCAGCUGCUGCAGAAUGUUAGAGAUAAGCUGAACAAAGUUGCAGAAAACUGGACUAGAAACGAGAAGAACCAUUGUCUGGAAGAGAUAGAGAAGUCUUUCAAGUUCUCCGGGGCCAUCCUCCGAUUGAUAUUCUCUUGAUGCACAACUUUACGCUUUGUUUCCUGUUAACUUGUACAUUCGAUGGUCGAAACCUGAAAAUUUCUGUGAAUAGUUGUGUUUCUUUUUGCGUUUAAAUUCUGUCUAUGGUGUAUAAUAACUUGAUUAUAAUUCAAGUGUUACAUCAUUACUCCAUUCUCAAUGUUGCUGAUACUUAACUAUGGGCUGUCCAGCCUCAUAGAAAGCGAUGUUUUCUUUUUUCCUCUAUUGUAAUGUGGUGCUUGUAUAUCGUGUUUGGCCUA